AUGCGUUGCAGGUUUGUCAUGACCUAUACAUAUGGAAAACAGAGCAAAGGAGAGAGAGACGCAAAAAACAGAGCCCCCGAUUCCCCUCAUCUCUCCCAGAUCGCCGCCACCUCUCCCUCCUCCGAUCCACCUCGCCGCCGGCCCUUCCCUUCCCAUCAUCCCACCGCGCAGCUCCGGCGGCUGCUGGAUCCAUCGCAUCCCCCACCCACCCAUCCCUCUCGCGUCCGAUCUCUAGCUCUCUUCACACGCCUCCUCGCCAUCUGCGAUGGCUAAUUCAGGCGACGUCCGGCGAAUCCCGCCAUCACGAAGCAUAGCCCGAGGUCCCCAUCGAAACGCAGCGUCGUCCCAUGCGACUAGAUCCGCUGCUCACGGCUACCCCCGCCCUGGCAAGGGUUUCGGCCGUCGGCUCCGGCACCGGUGGCCAGGUCGUCCUCCUUUGGUACUCCUCUCUUCCGAAGUGCAGGGAGGAACAGGCUGCGUAUGAACUCCAUCGUGACACUACUGACGGUGAUGUCAAUGGACGAGAUGUGCCUCGGCGUCGACGAGCAUGCACUGAGGCGGGAAGUGGAAAAGGAAUACAUCGCCAAGCGAACUCAAUGGUACGAUGCUGGAGGUGGAAGACGUGGCCAACAUGGCGCUGUAUGUCGAGUCGGACGAGGCUAGUGGCGGAGCGUGGCAAGAAGUGAAGAACCCAAGAGGGGGCCAUUUUUUAAAAACGAAAUACGCAUUACUAGGAGCAGUGUGAGCUGAUGGUUCAUUCUUUUUCAACACUGCUCACAAACAGAAGUAGACGAGUAUAUGGAGGUGUUAUUUUUCAGCCGGAAGUAUAGCUGCUACUCACGUAUGCAAGAACGACAGACAAAUUAUUUUCAGCCAUAAUUCAAGAAAACCAAGAUUGUAAUGGAGUAUAGAAUAAAAGCAUGCUGAGUACUUCGGAGUCAUGCGUUGUGGAUCAAGGCAUUGACACAGCCGACCCGCCGGCAGCGACAUGCCUCGUCGAUCAAAGGCAUUGGCACAGCCAACCGGCCUGCAGCAAUGUCGAGCACGACGGUCACCAUGCCACGGCCUGAGGGACAUUCUCAAUGUGUUGACCUUGCCGCCGAAGGAGCAGAGACAAUUGGUGCGGCACGAGGUCGUGACCGCGACGACCCUGCAGCCCGCGCACACGAGGUCAAGGGCUCGAUGCAGGACUCAUUGCCGAUACUGGAGGAGGCGCCAUGGCAGCACCAAUAGGUCUUGCAGCAUGCUACACGGUAUUGCUCCGGCCAUCUCUGGCCAUGGAUAUGCCAUCAAUUGCAGGUUUCCUGCUUGCUAUGGUGCACUGCAGGUCAUCUUUGUUUCUCAUACCAAUGGUCACACUCACAGCCACCGUGUUGUAGCCCCUUUUGGCCUCCAUGAGGCUCCGCCAGUGUCGUGUCGUAUCAUAGGGAAGGUUGCAUAUACGGACAAUCGCCACAUGCACAACACCAGUCACUGACUUAAACACAUGUCCAGAACUAAUGCCAAACAUGCAUAAAUCCAUAUCUUGAAUCUUAUGUUCUUAAACAGCAACCAUGCAUGUAAGGACAAGCCAUGUAAAUAGGAUUCAGUCAUAUUCUAAUAUGUUUUAUCCUUUUUUAUAAUUGUAAUUUUUUAUGUCAAUUAUUCUUUACUACAGGUAGCUCUCAAACUGCGCAGAGUCAAGAUUGAUGCUAUGGUACCAUUAAUGAUUCCAGCUGAAGAUAUUUGCAACCUGAACUGUUACACAAGUUUACUAUUGUGCCAAUGUGUCAUCAUGUGUUUCCAUGAUUUUUGCAAACCUUUAAUAUAUCCCCGGGUUCCUUUUCUUCUAUGCUAGAAUUGGUUUGGAAAAACUGUAUGCAACUAUGGCCAUGAAAUUGUAUUAAGAAUUAUGCAAGGAGUGAGUCAUCAUUUCUUGAAUGGGUUUGCAGUUCUAGCUCUUUGUAUACCACACAAUAUUGUGUCAUGUCUUGAUAUUAUUAUAACUUUAAUAUGAUCCAAACACACACAACUUCCUACAGAAAACUUACUAUGAAUUUUCUUUUGGCAACGUUUAUGAAACACAAAUGAAGUAAGAUGCCAGAAAUCAAUUGAAGAAAUUGAUGGAAAUUGGUAGAAAAUUAUCUUUCUAACAUUUCAGUAUUAGCAAACUGAUUCUAAUGAGAAUAGUAGAUUUGUAUACGCCAUACAGUAGGGUGUGGAUUCAUUCCUUAAGGCUGGCUUAUAAUUAUGUUCUAAUUAUAGUUUCUGUGUCAGCCCAUUCUCUUUCAUUGUAUACUUUUAAUGAUAACAGAGCGACUUCUUUUAUAAAUUCUUAGCUUCUUUUAUAGAUUCUUAGUUACUCAUGUAUGCAGGUCAGCAUCAAGGCUAUGAAGCGAAAGAUCAGACAAAGGUUUUCGCCAUGUUUGUCCUUCAGCUUAGUAACUGUACGUCUAGUUCUUUCCCCUAUUGUAGUCCUUUUAUUUGCACCGUACUUCUUGAAAGAUGAUAACUUGCAAUCAUUAUUGUAGAGUGGCCGUGCUUCUAUUUAUAUUCCUGAAAUAAACUGAAAUUUCAUUUGCAUCUCUAUAACUUCAUUUUGUUAAUAAAAAGGUUUGAUUAAUUAAGCAGUGCAAUUACAUGGCUUUAUCCUUAUUUUCCAUUGUAUCAUGUCUCCACUUCUAUUUAACAGGGAUCGUAGCUCUUGCUAUAGUUGUAAGUUGUGAUCUUAAAUGUAUUUUUUUUUGAUAUCGUGAUCCUAAAUGUACACUUGAUGGUGCUGAAAUUACAAAUGAAUUCUCGGCAGUGCAUGUUGAUAUGGCACUUGUGAAAACUGAAGAUUUGGUACGGAGUCGUAAAACGUGUAAUAUUCUCGGUAAUGCAGAAAAACAAAGAUUGCAUUGCCCUCAACCUUUGUAUGUGACAUAUCGUGCCUAUAUCACUACUUGCAUCAUGUCAAUGUAUUCUGUGUUAACAAUUCAUUUUGUUAUUUUCUUUGUAGAUUCAAAAGAUAUAUGGCUGAUUAUAUGGUUGCGUGGCAAGAAUACUGCAAUGAUGAUGAUGGUGUUCUACUGUUCUUGUUCAUGAUGAUGAUGAUAAUGACGACAGACGCUUUUAGUUGUAGCUAAGUUGUAGGGAUGUUGUUCCUGUUGGAUGAUGUUCGUGUUCCUCAGUUAAGUUUUUGUUAAGUUGUAGGGAUGUUGAUGGAUGCUUUCAGUUUAAGUUUUAAUGUCAAGAAAAUAUUUAGAUUAUGUAUCACAAUUGGAUGAAGUUGCUCAUGUAAUAUCUACUAUUGUAAUCCAGCAGUUCUAUCCAAUAUAUGAUUUCGGAUUU